AAUUGCCAUUUUAUCAUUAUUUAUUAAUAGUGCGAAUUGAAAAUACUGAGUGCAAAAUAAAAUAUAUAUAGGUCUGUGUUUAUUGUUUACAUUUCAUCUACUUCCGGACCCGGUGUGUCCUAAAUUUACGAAGAAAUGGUUGAAGACUUCUGACUAGAUCUAGAUCUACAUCUAGAGUUCUAGACAUAGAUCUCUAGAUCUACUCUAGAUAUUAGAAUUAGAUCUAUUCUUAGAAUCUAGUAAGUGCUAAUUAGCCAAAUAUUCCAUUCAAAUCCCUUUCUUUUCACGACAAUGGCUUUACUACCUCCAAGAAUGAAAUCAGCUCAGCCUUGAGUUGGACGACAUGCUUUAACACUUUUCCCCUGGAGAGCCAACGAACGUUGGUGUGAUACAGGAGACAUUAGUAGUCUGAAUCCAUUGCUUCACAAAGCUCUGAGGAAAGUCAGAAUGCAAGCGGUCGAGAUUUGAGGAAGUUUACAACUUCAAUCACUUGAUCCAGAACAGACAUCAAAUAUUUGAAGGCAAGAGCUUCUCUGUGGAUCAUGCAGUGAACAACUAAUACAUUUGGAUUUUCUUGACACACAAGAGUGAAGAAUCCCUUUCUAUUUCCCUGCAUGGAAGGACAGCCAUCGGUGCAAACGCUGACACUGUUUGUCUCCACUGUACUUUGAAUAGCAAAAUGUUUUAGUUCACCACUUAAAAAUAUCUUCGCCUUUGGUCGUAGUUGGUAAGUCUUUGCAAAAUAAGAAUUUGUUGACACAUUUUUCAUCCUUUAUGAACUGAAUAAAAGCUAACAACUGGGCUUUGCACUAAUGUCAGUGGAUUCAUCCACUUGAAGGGACCACAACAGAGACAGUUCAUCGUCAGUCAUUUCGAAGUGUUCGAAGAUUUGAUCUUGUAAAUCUGACAAUAAGUCUUCAAUUCUGCGCAAGAUAGUACUAUUUGACAAAGGAACUUUUUUAACUUUUUCGGCAGCAUCGGGUCCAAGGAUAGUUUCAACAACUAUUGCUAAAGCUGGUGCAAUGACUGAUUCAGCCUCUGUGUGUUCUUUCUUGCAUUUGCUAAUAACUGAACAACCUUAUAAAUUGCAAUUAAUCCCUUUUCUGGAAGCUUUAAGUAGUUCGUAAGUUUCUUAGCUUGUUUAUUUUGUUGAGCCCUGAUUUUUUCGAAGUAUUCCUUCAGUUGCGCUUUUACAGCUGGAUGUUUUGUUUCCAAGUGUCUCUUCAAUUUGCUUGGAACAAGCGCCUCAUUCAACAGAGCUGAAUUGCAGAUCAGACAGAAUGACAAUGGAGAAUCUUCAGGUCCUGAAGAUAUGAAACCAUAUCCGAUGUAAUCUUCUUUGUACCUUUGUUUGGUUCCAUGCUUUUCAUUGAACGCUUUCGCAGUUUCAUUCUUACCAACGUAUUUCUCCAUGGAUAACAAUGAUUAAGGCUUAGUAAUAAUUUGUUAUUAUUAGCAUACACCUACAAAAUUUACAUGAAACACAUCGCUUAUUAUUAUCGUUACCAAUUCAAGAACUGCUGAGCGUCUGCUAAGGCGGCCUACAUUUGAGUCAUUAUAAUAAUAUAUGUAUAGUGGACAACUCCAUAACCUGAAGAGCUAACACCCCUUUCCGUCAUAAUGUAGCGAUCCACUACUAUUACUGGUCGUUGCAAGCUGGGAUGUCGUCACAAGGUAAAAUAAAAAUUUAAUAGUAGGCAAACCUGUGUAACACUGCACGUGUGGCAUUCUGAAAACGCCUCGGCACACCUGCAAAUCUUCGGCGGCACACAGUUUGAGAAACACUGCCCUAGACAAUAAUAAAUAUUGACUAUUCAAUCUGAUUCUACAUUUAUGUCAAACAAUAUUAUGAAUAUAGUAUAGAUGUCUAGAUAUGCUAACUUAAAUAGUUAGAAUAUAGAUCUAGAAUCUAGUCUAGAUUAGUUAUUGGUAGAUCUAGAUCUAAUCUAGGUCUAACAAUAAAAUUGAUUCGGAAUACCUUGAACUCAUCCUUUGUGAUUGUGUAAGCACUUUCAGUAGAACAAGAUUAUAAGUGAAGAGAUCUGGAUAACACAAGGAGGGCAGCAAAUCAUUUUCUUUAUUACGCUGGCUUGCUUUCAAAGUGUGGCGAUUUUAUUGUUUACCAUGGAGUUGUCUACUUUUCAAAUUUUACUGACCAAGUUUUGUACAGUGACUGAUCCAUCUGCAGUUUCCGAAGCAGUAACUGAUAUCUCAAAAAAAUAUCGCUUUGCUGAUGGUGUCUGGUCACCUCAGAGGAUCAACAGGAUUUGUUCAUUGAAAGACACUUGAAGAUUUAGGCAGUUAAAGCAAAAGGACUUCUUGCAAUGUUUGUUUCAAGGACCAGACACAACAGAAUUCCACAACAUAUGUAUCGGAAGCUCAAAAUCAGAAACUGAAAUCUGCCCAUGUGGAGUGUCACCAGAGAAUGUUGACCAUCUCCUCCAAAAUUGCUCUCUUUACCAAGAGGCUGUACAUGACACUGGCCCCAAAACACCCCAAUAGAAAGAAAACUAUUUGGAGAGUUCCCUGAUUUGGAAAUCACUGCAAAAAUAAUCUCAUAUACUGGUCCAGUCAUCUGAAUGCUCCAAUAAAAAAAAUGAGAAGGAAGAAGAAAAAGAUUGUAUGUACCAUUUUUGUUUGUUUGAGGAUGGGGAGAAAAGUGUUCUUAGAAUUCAAACACCAAAAGUAUGUGUCUUUAUGAAUUCAAUGUAAUUGAUACUAGGCUUUUUGAGCUGAAAAUAAAAUGCAGGAAAUUUUAUUGGAAGUGCAGAAAAAAAAAAGAGUUUUUAGCCAAAAUAAACAAUGUAUAGCCUGAGAACAAAUCAGGUGGAAGAACCAAGGGUAAUGCUAGUAUACUAUAGAAGUAGUACCUUUUUUUAUGCUUGCAACUUCAUUGAUGCAUAACAGUGUCACAAACUGUUUGUUAAUGUGAUAUGAAACAUAAUUUUUUUAAUUUUUUUUGUUACACAUAUAAUCACUCUAAAAAAAUUAUUUCUAAAAUAGAUAACUGUCUCUAGUAACCUGCUAGUGGACCAUGACCAACCUUUUUCUAUCUUGCUUUGUAUGAUAUAAACUUUCCUAGUUUUGACUUUAAAUUGUCGCUCUGGUCGUGUCAGUUAUGCUAUAGGCUACUUUUAAUUGCAUAUGUUAGACAAAAAUAGUGAAAACAAGAGAACAUAACAUUUUCUAAAGAAAUUUUUAAUAUUUUGCAUUUUUAGGGAAGCAACAUGGCUAUCGAAAAGCAGAGACCAUACAAACCUCAUUAGAUGAAGAGUUUUAUUUUGUUGGUAAAGUCCUUGGUUUUGAGCCAUCAGAGAAACAUAGAAAGCUCUGUUUUGACAAUAUAUAAAGAGUGACUUUAGCUCAACUCCUCACCAAGCUUUACAGUCUGUGACAUUUUUUUGGUAAAACUUUUAAUCAGAUUUAUGUGUGUAUACUUCAUUAUGUUAACUACUUUUAUCAAGAAUACUCAAUUCAUAAAAAGAAGCUGCUUUAAAGGAUUAAAGAUAACUUUGACCCUUUUGAGAAAACAAAUUUAAACACAAGAUUUUGAAUUAAUUUUGUAAUUCUUUUAUAUUUUUUCUUUCUGAAAGCCACAUAACGACACAAGUAUUUAUUCAAGGUUUUGAAUGUAUGGUAUACUGUUAGGUUUAGUUAUUGAGUCAUUCAGUAAAUUGUUUUUGUUUUGUGGUUUUUUAUAAAUUAAUAAAUGGAAGUUUAUAUAAUGUGUUAUGCUUAUAUGUAUGAUUUUUUUUUACUGAUCUAAAGAAAGAAACUUGAGGAUUUUAAUUUUUAUUCCUUUUUGAAACAUGUAAGGAAUAUUAGAACAUUGGUUGGCAACAUUAUUAGUGUCAAAAUGUAUUUCACUUGGUAGCCAAGAAUGCUUCUAACUGAGAUGACAUCACUACCUGCGGUUAACAAGGGUGCCAUGUUGUCAGCACAAUAACCAACCGCCUUUACUUUUUCCUAACUCAUAUAAUAAUAAUAAUAAUAAUAAUCUUUAUUAUCCUUAAGGAAAUUUGUCUUACAAUUUGUGCAUUACACCAAACAAAAAACAUUAUAACUAUAAGAAACCAAAAUGUACAUUCACACCAGACUCACUCAUAAUUUACAUGUGACAAAGUUUAUGCCAGAUUGUUCUUAUUUAAUGAUUUGAUUGCCAGGGGAACAAAAGAGUGUUUGUGUCUGUUUGUCUUUGCUAUCGGUGCCUUGUAUCUCUUUUGUGAUGGUAAAAUCACAAAAUCCUGACACAAAGGGUGAUUCUUUAUUUCGAGGAUCUUGUUAGCUUUUUUAUAGAUGUUUGUCUCAAACAACUGCCCAAAUGGGGUUUGUUUUUUGCCAAUGAUUUUGCCAGCAGCAUUUAGGAUUCUAUGAAGUUACCCAUUAGAGCUGGGUGGACUCGAAGGCACCAUAAAGAUCCCAAAAAAUACCCGUCUUCACCAGGAUUUGAACCCAGGGUCCUCCUGUUUGGAAGUCAAGUGCUUUACCACUCAGCCACAUGCCUCCGUUAAAGGCUAGAUUUUGUGACAAUUAUUUUUAGGAGAGAGAAUGAUGUAUGCACAAAGUUGUAGCUUUUGUUUUUAUUUUUAUUAAAUUUAUUUGUAUUUAACCACUGACUUAUUCAUCUCUGAAUUGUCCAAUUGAAGUUUGUAAUCAGUUAGUGUUGACCUUGGCUUGAUAGGCUAAAAGGAUGAACAAUAAUAAUAAUAAUAAUUAUAGCUUGUAUGUAGUGCUACUUUCAUGCUUACAGCAUGCUCAGAGUGCUGUGUUCCAAUCUUAUGUGUGAACCAGUAGGGGGGGGGGGAUUUGGGAGAGGGUUUUCCAUGCUGCCUUUGGGUACUCAGUAAACAGAACUCUGCUUGAGUCGUGUGUUGAACCUAGAGUCACCUUGAUAGGUAGCCGAGCCAAGCCAAGUUCAAGCAUACUUAGCCUCUUGACCAUGCCUCCACAUUGAAAUUAAAUUGUAAAUGUUAAAUAUUUUUAAAAAUUUAAUACAGAAUUUGAUAUUUAUGAAAUAUUUAAUACAGAAUUUGAUAUUGAUGAAAAAUUUAAUACAGAAUUUGAUAUUGAUUACAAAAAAUAAUACAGAAUUUGAUAUUGAUACCAUUUCAUUUGUGUGUGUGUGUGUUUCCAAUAAUAUUUCUAUGAAUGUACAAUUUAUUCUCUAGAUAAAGAUUCAUUUUCUGUUUUGUAAGGCAGCUCUCAAUCCUCAGUGUUAUGAACAUAAUGAUAACAGAGUCGAAAACCAUGCCAGUUUAGUCUGGCUUUAAUACACUGAAUGAAUACACAACACACAUUUUGUGAACACAUUCUUACGGACGAGUUACAAUCACAUGUAAGCAUAAGAACGAAAACCGAUACAGCAUAUAAUUUUCAUAAGUGAAAUUCUAAACAGACUUCUAAUUCAAAAACAGACUUCAACUUCACAGAACAGACUUCUAUUUCACAGAACAUUCUACUUCACAGAACAGACUUCUAUUUCACAGAACAUUCUACUUCACAGAACAGACUUCUACUUCACAGAACAUUCUACUUCACAGAACAGACUUCUAUUUCACAGAACAUUCUACUUCACAGAACAGACUUCUAUUUCACAGAACAUUCUAC